AUUGAACGCUGGCGGCAGGCCUAAUACAUGCAAGUCGAGCGGAUGAAGGGAGCUUGCUCCUGGAUUCAGCGGCGGACGGGUGAGUAAUGCCUAGGAAUCUGCCUGGUAGAGGGGGAUAACGUCCGGAAACGGGCGCGAAUACCGCAUACGUCCUGAGGGAGAAAGUGGGGGAUCUUCGGACCUCACGGUAUCAGAUGAGACUAGGUCGGAUUAGCUAGUUGGUGGGGUAAAGGCCUACCAAGGCGACGAUCCGUAACUGGUCUGAGAGGAUGAUCAGUCACACUGGAACUGAGACACGGUCCAGACUCCUACGGGAGGCAGCAGUGGGGAAUAUUGGACAAUGGGCGAAAGCCUGAUCCAGCCAUGCCGCGUGUGUGAAGAAGGUCUUCGGAUUGUAAAGCACUUUUAGUUGGGAGGAAGAGCAGUAAGUUAAUACCUUGCUGUUUUGACGUUACCAACAGAAUAAGCACCGGCUAACUUCGUG
rnacentral:rRNA from 1 species